GAAUGGGAAAGCAACGGCCAUCUAACAAUUGCCCCUUUUUAUUAAAGUCCAAAUACAUUCAUAAUAAUACUUAAUAACAUUGCAGCAUCUCCAAGGAAAGGUAAGCAUCAAGUUGUAGUGGGUAUUUGAUUAUUUAGUUGGUAGCAAGGUAAGCAUCAAGUCCCAAUGAGAGCUUAGAAACAAAGUCCAGGUAAGCUUCCGGGGUAGGGAUGUUCUCGUCUGCCUUCUCGAACUCGAUCGUCCACUUCACGGUGGCGCUGCCGCUUUCUCCAUUGGGGGAGGCUUGGAACUUGGCUCUGAAAAAGUUGUAGUGGCUUAGUAUAUCUCCUUCAACAGCUUCGUAU
rnacentral:lncRNA from 1 species